GUAUCAGAAGUGCGAAUGCUGACAUAAGUAACGAUAAAGCGGGUGAAAAGCCCGCUCGCCGGAAGACCAAGGGUUCCUGUCCAACGUUAAUCGGGGCAGGGUGAGUCGACCCCUAAGGCGAGGCCGAAAGGCGUAGUCGAUGGGAAAC
rnacentral:rRNA from 1 species